GACGAACGCUGGCGGCGUGCUUAACACAUGCAAGUCGAACGGAAAGGCCUCUUUCGGGGGGUACUCGAGUGGCGAACGGGUGAGUAACACGUGAGUAACCUGCCCUUGACUUUGGGAUAACUUCAGGAAACUGGGGCUAAUACCGGAUAGGAGCUCCUGCUGCAUGGUGGGGGGUUGGAAAGUUUCGGCGGUUGGGGAUGGACUCGCGGCUUAUCAGCUUGUUGGUGUGGUAGUGGCUUACCAAGGCUUUGACGGGUAGCCGGCCUGAGAGGGUGACCGGCCACAUUGGGACUGAGAUACGGCCCAGACUCCUACGGGAGGCAGCAUGGGGGAAUAUUGC
rnacentral:rRNA from 1 species